GCUCCAGUGGCGCAAUUGGUUAGCGCACGGUACUUAUAUGAUGCCGUGGUUGUGAGUUCGAGCCUCACCUGGAGCA
rnacentral:tRNA from 1 species